rnacentral:rRNA from 1 species
ACCCGAAGACGGUGCGCUAACCCGCAAGGGGGGUAGCCGGCCACGGUAAGGUCAGCGACUGGGGUGAAGUCGUAACAAGGUAGCCGUAGGUGAACCUGCAGAAGGAUCA